rnacentral:tRNA from 1 species
GGGCAUAUGGUUUAGUGGUAUAAUACUCCCUUAGCAUGCGGCGGCGCCGGGCAGCGUACGGCACGAAGUGGGAGUGGUCCUGGGUUCGAUUCCCAGUUUGUCCA